CGAUUGUCUCUGACAGAGGUGGGCAGAAUGUAGUCUCAGAAAGGUGGAGGUGUCUCUCAAUUUCAAUGAGAGGUAUCUCUGUGUGCAGACCACAGAUUUUUGAGAGAUGAUUCUGCCUGAGAACAGCUGAUGGGAACAACAGAGAUUGGGGUUAACUGCUCAGAGAAGUGACCAAGGAGAUCUGGCGCUGCUGAUAAAUAAAAGGAUGGAGGCCAAAGAGUUCGGGAGCUUUUGGACAUCCAGACUGCUUGGCUGACGGUUCUUUAAAGAUCCUGAUCCAGGAUCCUGAUCUUCACUUUAUUCACUUAUGCUCGAUAAAUAAAUUGAUUGAUUUUGA